rnacentral:rRNA from 1 species
CCCGCUGAAUUUAAGCAUAUUAAUAAGCGGAGGAAAAGAAACUAACAAGGAUUCCCUCAGUAACGGCGAGUGAAGCGGGAAGAGCUCAAAUUUGAAAUCUCCGAUGCUUGCAUCGGCGAGUUGUAGUUGCGAGAAGCACUUUCUAGGCGGAUCGACGGUGCCUAAGUUGCUUGGAACGGCACGUCGCAGAGGGUGACAACCCCGUCUGUGGCGCCGCCGGCCGCCGACGAUGUGCUUUCGAAGAGUCGGGUUGUUUGGGAAUGCAGCCCAAAACGGGUGGUAAACUCCAUCUAAAGCUAAAUACUGGCGUGAGACCGAUAGCGAACAAGUACCGUGAGGGAAAGAUGAAAAGAACUUUGAAAAGAGAGUUAAAAAGUACGUGAAACCGUCGAAAGGGAAACGAAUGGACUCAGCAAUGCGCCCUCUGAGAUUCAGCCGGUGGGUGGCGGCGGCGCCGGGUUUGCGGAUCUGAAUGGACCGCGGCCUGGCGCCCGCCUCUCCCCGCCGUCGCACUUCUCUGGGGCGCGCGUCAACGUGGGUUGGGACUGGGUCUGAAAGGCGCUGGGAAGGUAGGUGUGGGCCUUCGGGUCCGUUCUGUUACAGCCCGGUUCUCUCAUGGCUCGGGCCCGACCGAGGAGCGACACGGGGCAUGCCUCCUGUGGCUAGGGUCCCGCCCUUCCGGCCGGCUGYCCAGUGCGGUGGACUGCUUGCAGUGCUCCGCGACGGCUGCCGGUCGUUGGGGUGGUGAUCUCGUACCAUGCCCCUAGGAUGUUGGCGGUCAUAUGGGUGC